ACGUAGCCAAGCUCUCCACUCCACUGGGUAGGAUAGAUUAGAUAUAAAACAGAUCCAUACGGCCGUGUCUCCUGGCUGAGAAGAGAUAAGCCAGCCGCAUUGAUCCAUCGAUCGAUCGGGGUCAGGUAUGGAGCUGCUGUCCAACCGCCCGGCGCACGCCUCUGUGCCGGACAAGUACGUCUUCCCGCCGGAGAAGCGCGCCGCCCUGCUCGACGACGCGCCCAGCUCCGACGUGGCGCUCCCCGUCGUCGACCUCAAGCGUGCCACCCUCUCCGACGCCGGCCGCCGCCGCCUCGUGGCCGAGGAGAUCGUCAAGGCCGGCAAGGAGUUCGGCUUCUUCCAGGUGGUGAACCAUGGCGUGGCGGAGGACGUGGUGCGGGCGUUCCGGGAGGCGUCGGCGGAGUUCUUCGCGAUGCCGGCGGAGGAGAAGCUGCCCUACUGCUCCGACGACCAGAGCAAGCCCUUCCGCGUCGCCUCCAGCACCUCCUACGACCGGAACCAGACCCGCUACUGGCGUGACUACCUCAAGCUGCGUUGCCACCCGGUCUCCGACGAGCUCGUCGGCCACUGGCCGGCCAGGCCGGAGAGCUUCCGGACCUCCCUCGCCGAGUUCUCCGAACAGGUGCACGAGCUGGCGCAGACGCUGCUGCUGCUCAUCGCCGAGGGGCUCGGCCUCGACGGCGGCUUCUUUGCGGGCGACCUCAGCGGCGGCGACACCCAGAUGAACGUCAACUACUACCCGCCGUGCCCGGACCCGAGCGUCACGCUGGGCCUGCUCCCGCACUGCGACCGCCACCUCCUCACCGUGCUCUCCCAGGGCGACGUCGCCGGGCUCCAGGCGAGGUACCGCGGGCGGUGGCUGCUCGUCCGCCCGGUCCCGGGCGCCUUCAUCAUCAACUUCGGGCACCAGAUGGAGAUCGUCACCAACGGCGUGCUGGCGAGCGUGGAGCACCGCGCCCUCACCAACUCCGCCGUGGCGAGGAUGUCCGUGGCGACGCUCAUCAUGCCCAAGAUGGACUGCCUUAUCGGCCCGGCGCCGGAGAUGGUGAGCGAGGCGAAUCCGCCCAAGUUCAGGGAGUUUGUGUUCAGGGAGUUCAUGGCGGCGUACGACACCGCCGCUGCUAGCAGGGAGGACGUGCUGGAGUACUUCAGGAUCCAACAACACUAGAUCGAUGCUGAUGGAUCUACAUCUAUGCCCAGACUUUCUUCCUAGCAGCUUGAUGUACCAAAUAAACAGCGCUCCUAAGCGUUGAACUCUCGUGUGGUUGCAUCUUCUUGAUGCCAUGCCACAAAUUAAUGAACUUUCGUAUGUGCUUUUGUCUA